UACGUAGGCAGCAAGCGUUGUUCGGAGUUACUGGGCGUAAAGGGUGUGUAGGCGGUUCCUUAAGUUUGCUGUGAAAUCUCCCGGCUUAACCGGGAGGGUGCGGUGAAUACUGAGGGACUAGAGUACGGGAGAGGGAAAGUGGAAGUUCCUGGAUGUAGCGGUGAAAUGACGUAGAUAUCAGGAGGAACACCGGUGGUGUAGACGGCUUUCUGGACCGUAACUGACGCUGAGACACGAAAGCGUGGGUAGCAAACAGG
rnacentral:rRNA from 1 species